rnacentral:rRNA from 1 species
UCUGGUUGAUCCUGGCAGAGGUUACUGCUAUCGGUGUUCGCCUAAGCCAUGCGAGUCAUAUGUUCGUAAGAACAUGGCGUACUGCUCAGUAACACGUGGAUAACCUGCCCUUGGGUCCGGCAUAACCCCGGGAAACUGGGGAUAAUUCCGGAUAACGCACAUAUGCUGGAAUGCUUUUUGCGUAAAAUGGAUUCGUCUGCCCAAGGAUGGGUCUGCGGCCUAUCAGGUAGUAGUGGGUGUAAUGUACCUACUAGCCUACGACGGGUACGGGUUGUGAGAGCAAGAGCCCGGAGAUGGAUUCUGAGACAUGAAUCCAGGCCCUACGGGGCGCAGCAGGCGCGAAAACUUUACAAUGCGGGAAACCGUGAUAAGGGGACACCGAGUGCCAGCAUCCUAUGCUGGCUGUCCGGGUGUGUAAAAUACACCUGUUAGCAAGGGCCGGGCAAGACCGGUGCCAGCCGCCGCGGUAACACCGGCGGCCCGAGUGGUGAUCGUGAUUAUUGGGUCUAAAGGGUCCGUAGCCGGUUUGGUCAGUCCUCCGGGAAAUCUGACAGCUCAACUGUUAGACUAUCGGAGGAUACUGCCAGACUUGGAACCGGGAGAGGUAAGAGGUACUACAGGGGUAGGAGUGAAAUCUUGUAAUCCCUGUGGGACCACCUGUGGCGAAGGCGUCUUACCAGAACGGGUUCGACGGUGAGGGACGAAAGCUGGGGGCACGAACCGGAUUAGAUACCCGGGUAGUCCCAGCCGUAAACGAUGCUCGCUAGGUGUCAGGCAUGGCGCGACCGUGUCUGGUGCCGCAGGGAAGCCGUGAAGCGAGCCACCUGGGAAGUACGGCCGCAAGGCUGAAACUUAAAGGAAUUGGCGGGGGAGCACAACAACGGGUGGAGCCUGCGGUUUAAUUGGACUCAACGCCGGACAACUCACCGGGGGCGACAGCAAAAUGUAGGCCAGGCUGAAGACCUUGCUUGAAUCGCUGAGAGGAGGUGCAUGGCCGUCGCCAGUUCGUACUGUGAAGCAUCCUGUUAAGUCAGGCAACGAGCGAGACCCA